rnacentral:tRNA from 1 species
GGGGAGUUACCGAAGCGGUCAAACGGGGCAGACUGUAAAUCUGCUGGCUCUGCCUUCGCAGGUUCGAAUCCUGCACUCCCCAC